AGUGAACGCUGGCGGCGUGCUUAACACAUGCAAGUCGAACGAGAACGGGUUAUAGCUUGCUAUAAUUGUCAGCUAAGUGGCGCACGGGUGAGUAAUGUAUAGGUAAUAUGCCUCUUACUAAGGGAUAACAAAUGGAAACGUUUGCUAAUACCUUGUACUCCUUAUUAACAUAAGUUAAUAAGGGAAAGAUUUAUUGGUAAGAGAUUAGCCUGUAUUGUAUCAGUUAGUUGGUGGGGUAAUGGCUUACCAAGACUAUGACACAUAACUGGUUUGAGAGGAUGAUCAGUCGCACUGGAACUGAGACACGGUCCAGACUCCUACGGGAGGCAGCAGUGGGGAAUAUUGCACAAUGGACGAAAGUCUGAUGCGGCAACGCCGCGUGGAGGAUGACACAUUUCGGUGCGUAAACUCCUUUUAUAUGAGAAGAUAAUGACGGUAUUAUAUGAAUAAGCACCGGCUAACUCCGUGCCAGCAGCCGCAGUAA
rnacentral:rRNA from 1 species